AGGUUCAGUGUUUCUGCUUGGGCCCUGUUUACUGUUUUUUGUAUUGGAUCGUUUAGCCUCUUUUAGCUGUUUUGGACUUACUGGAUCUUUAUUUGGUUUUCCACUCUUGUUUGGUGUCUUGCUCAGCAUCUACAAGUCAGAUGGGGUCAAGUCGUGUGUUGUAUGCUGAUCCAGGCAGGGUGGAAAUGUGUGCAGUUAGCACAAUGGACAACGAACAAAGGAUUAUACAGGUGAUCAGCGCCAUGCGGACGGAAAUCAGAAAGCUGGAGCUGGAGAACAUAGGCCUGAGGAGGACAGCUGGAGCUAAUCUCCGAAAGAAUGCAACAGUUCCCAUCAUGACACCAGAAUGCAGAGAGAGCGUCGUCAUGACAGUGAGAAGAUAUUCCAUCUUCCAGCCGUUGGUCAAUCAUCGGAAUUUGCAGUUGGGCAAUUCUAAAAGUGAACGGUGGACUGGAAAACAGAAAAGAUGAAAAUUAGCAGUGUUGAAUUGUAUCUGACACCGGCACAGAGAGUGGUCGUGUAACGUAGGUUCUGUUAAAAAAGUACCAGCUCUUGGGGUGGCGGCCUGGUCUAAAACUCUGUUAAUUGGCACAACAUUGUGUAGGUUAUCACUGUUACCAAAUAAAAUGUUGUUAUGCCCUC